ACAUAUCAAUAAGCGGAGGAAAAGAAACCAACCGGGAUUGCCCUAGUAACGGCGAGCGAAGCGGCAAAAGUCCAAAUUUGAAAUCUGGCGUCUUACGGGCGUCCGAGUUGUAAUUUGAAGAUGGUAACUCUGGGUUUGGCUCUCGCAUGAGUCCCUUGGAACAGGGCGUCAUAGAGGGUGAGAAUCCCGUUCGUGGUGAGAUGCCCAUUCCUAUAUAGAGUGCCUUCGAAGAGUCGAGUUGUUUGGGAAUGCAGCUCUAAGUGGGUGGUAAAUUCCAUCUAAGACUAAAUAUUGGCGAGAGACCGAUAGCGAACAAGUACAGUGAUGGAAAGAUGAAAAGAACUUUGAAAAGAGAGUGAAAAAGUACGUGAAAUUGUUGAAAGGGAAGGGCUUGAAGUCAGACUUGGUAUUCAGUGAUCAACUGUCUCUUGGGACUGUGCACUCGCUGUUUACUGGGCCAACAUCAGUUUUGGCGGUGAGAUAAAGGUUUGGGAACGUGACUCUGCGGAGUGUUAUAGCCCUUUCUAAUAUCACCAGCUGGGACUGAGGUCUGCGCAUUGCAAGGAUGUUGGCGUAAUGACUUUAAGCCACCCGUCUUGAAACACGGACCAAGGAGUCUAACGUCUAUGCGAGUGUUUGGGUGUUAAACCCGUACGC
rnacentral:rRNA from 1 species